rnacentral:rRNA from 1 species
GAUGAACGCUGGCGGCGUGCUUAAUACAUGCAAGUCGAACGGACGGACGAGGAUCUUGUUUGUUUCUUGUUAGGGGCGCGCGUGAGUGUAACAUGAGUAACACCUACCUAUAUUACUGAUAUCUCUUGGGGAAACGGGAGAUAAUAGCGUAUGAUAUUUUGAACCGUAUUGUUGAAUGGUGAAUUACGGUGUUGCUGUCUGUUAUCGAUGGUUAUGAGCUGCAUUAGCUAGUUGGUAAGGAAACGGCUUACCAAGGCAACGAGGCAUAGACGAGGUGAGAGGGUGAUCGGCGACACUGGAGGUUAGACACGGUCCAGGCUACUACGGGAGGCAGCAGUAGCGAAUCUGACGCAAUGGGCGAAAGCAUGACGGAGCAACGCCGCGUGAGUGAUGAAGGUGUUCGGAUCGUAAAACUCUGUUAUGAGGGAAGAACAUAUGUGUAAGUAACUGUGCACAUCUUGACGGUACCUAAUCAGAAAGCCACGGCUAACUACGUG